rnacentral:rRNA from 1 species
ACGCUCGACACCUACGGAGGCAGCAGUGGGGAAUAUUGCACAAUGGGGGAAACCCUGAUGCAGCGACGCCGCGUGAAGGAAGAAGUAUCUCGGUAUGUAAACUUCUAUCAGCAGGGAAGAAAGUGACGGUACCUGACUAAGAAGCCCCGGCCAACUACGUGUCAGCAGCCGCGGUAAUCUGAGCGGGCUGGCAAGGC